rnacentral:rRNA from 1 species
UACGGAGGGUCCAAGCGUUAUCCGGAAUCAUUGGGUUUAAAGGGUCCGUAGGCGGUUUUGUAAGUCAGUGGUGAAAGCCCAUCGCUCAACGGUGGAACGGCCAUUGAUACUGCAAGACUUGAAUUACUAGGAAGUAACUAGAAUAUGUAGUGUAGCGGUGAAAUGCUUAGAUAUUACAUGGAAUACCAAUUGCGAAGGCAGGUUACUACUAGUGGAUUGACGCUGAUGGACGAAAGCGUGGGGAGCAAGCAGG